rnacentral:rRNA from 1 species
UGAAGAGAGAGUUUAACAGGGCGUGAAACCACUUGAAAUGAAGCAGACAGAGCUGAAAAGUCGCUUGUCGUGUUCAGUGUGAAUCGGCAUAGAAUUUUAUGUUGGUUUACAUGCAAUUUCGUCAAGUGAGCGCUACGACUGACGUUUCUUUGUUUGCGAUUGUUAAAAGAGUCGUCUGCUUAAUUGCAGGUUCCACUUUUUUCAGACGCUUGCAUUUGAGACGUUGAUGAUUUGCCGUGCUCGGAUUACUCGUAUGCGGUAAUGUUGUAUUGGUUAUGGGGUGAACCGUGUUAAUCACGAGUUGCUUAAAAUUGAUGUGACAGAGUCGUUUCUCGAGAAGCACUAAAGGUCGGUAGCGUCCGAGUCAGCCACCUGUCUGACCCGUCUUGAAACACGGACCAAGGAGUCUAACAUGCGCGCGAGUCGUUGGAUUGAAAAUUCUAAGGCGUAAUGAAAGUAAAGGUUAGUUUACUAACCGAGGUGAAAUCCCUAGUUUCGCACUGGGGCGCAUCACCGCCUCGCCUCGUGAGUAAUGUCUCGGAGGUGAAGAUAGAGCGUGUAUGUUGGGACCCGAAAGAUGGUGAACUAUGCUUGAGCAGGAUGAAGCCAGAGGAAACUCUGGUGGAGGUCCGCAGCGGUUCUGACGUGCAAAUCG